AGCGAACGCUGGCGGCAGGCCUAACACAUGCAAGUCGAACGAACUCUUCGGAGUUAGUGGCGGACGGGUGAGUAACACGUGGGAACGUGCCUUUUGGUUCGGAAUAACUCAGGGAAACUUGUGCUAAUACCGAAUGUGCCCUUCGGGGGAAAGAUUUAUCGCCCUUAGAGCGGCCCGCGUCUGAUUAGCUAGUUGGUGAGGUAACGGCUCACCAAGGCGACGCUCAGUAGCUGGUCUGAGAGGAUGACCAGCCACACUGGGACUGAGACACGGCCCAGACUCCUACGGGAAGCAGCAGUGGGGAAUCUUGCGCAAUGGGCGAAAGCCUGACGCAGCCAUGCCGCGUGAAUGAUGAAGGUCUUAGGAUUGUAAAAUUCUUUCACCGGGGACGAUAAUGACGGUACCCGGAGAAGAAGCCCCGGCUAACUUCGUG
rnacentral:rRNA from 1 species